ensembl:lncRNA
CCAACAGUAUCGCUCAGUGGUCGCGUCCACGGGUUUCCUCCAUUGUUAAAGUUGAAAACUAUUGAAUCCAUAGAGUGUGUUAGAGUUUGGGAUGUACCGGGAUAAACGGGAAUGGCUUCACUAACACUCGCGUCUCUCUGCUGGGCUCUGCCGAUCCUCUUCGUCGUGGUUUUCGCCGCUGACGGAUGCUCCCAGUUUCUCCUCUGCUAAAGGAGACAAUGAAGGAAGCAUUAUUCGCGAGCUCAGCAGAGUCUCAGGUGGUGUAGCUGGUAGACUGUUGUGCACCGAGGUCCAGUCCCACUGCUGUAUUCUCACCUUCUCACCCAGAACAACCUCUCCUUGCUCUCUGUGUCUCCCAGUUACCAGGUAAAAUAUCCUCUGUGGAAACCCAGC